rnacentral:rRNA from 1 species
GAUUAACGCUGGCGGCGUGCCUAACACAUGCAAGUCGAACGAGGUAGCAAUACCUAGUGGCAGACGGGUGAGUAACGCGUGGUCAACCUACCCUAGAGUGGGGGAGUAACUAGCCGAAGGUUAGCUAAUACCGCAUGAACGUAGCCGGGGCGAUCUCGGAAUGUUGAAAGGAGCAAUCCGCUCAAGGACGGGACCGCGUCCCAUUAGCUAGUUGGUGGGGUAACGGCCUACCAAGGCACCGANGGGUAGCUGGUUUGAGAGAGCGACCAGCCACACUGGGACUGAGAAACGGCCCAGACUCCUACGGGA